GAUGAAGAACGCAGCGAAAUGCGAUAAGUAAUGUGAAUUGCAGAAUUCAGUGAAUCAUCGAAUCUUUGAACGCACCUUGCACUCCUUGGUAUUCCGAGGAGUACGCCUGUUCGAGUGUUAUGAAGCUCUCAAAACGCAAUUGGCUUAAAACCUGAUUGUUGUUUUGGAUUUGAACUUUGCCGUGUUAUAACGGCUGGUUUUAAAAGUAUUAGCUGGUACUAGAACGAAUUGGUUCUACUCAACGUGAUAAUUAUCUGAUCGUUGAGGACAUUCCUUUCACGAGGAAUGGCCAUAGUAAAUUCAAUGGACUGCUUCUAAACUGGCUUUAAUUCUUUAUUGGAUUAACCACUUUUCAAAUCUGACCUCGAAUCAGGUGGGACUACCCGCUGAACUCAAGCAUAUCAAUAAGCGGAGGA
rnacentral:misc_RNA from 1 species